ACGCUCGACACCUACGGGGCAGCAGUCGGGAAUAUUGCGCAAUGGAGGAAACUCUGACGCAGUGACGCCGCGUGCAGGAAGAAGGUUUUCGGAUUGUAAACUGCUUUAGACAGGGAAGAACAAAUGACAGUACCUGUAGAAUAAGCUCCGGCUAACUACGUGCCAGCAGCCGCGGUAAUCUGAGCGGGCUGGCAAGGC
rnacentral:rRNA from 1 species